CCCCGGCUGCGGCUCCCCCGCAUUGCCGCCCGCACAAAGCCCCGCUCCGCCCCCGGCCCGCGGCGCCAUGGGACUCGUAGUCCCGCUGCUGGACGGGGGGAGGGAGUGCCUGGAAAAGGGAUAAGAGUUGUGCCAGAGGCACGGCGAGGGAAGUGCCGCAGAAGCGACGUGCUGGGAAUCCUGCAAAGAAAUCCAUGCAAGUGGCAGGCAGCUUUUCCCUGGGAGAACCUCUGAAGGGAAAAGAUUGGUUUGUGAAUCUCCAUUUUCCCUGAUGCUCAGCACUUCCAGAUGGAUCCUGAGCUGCUGCUGAAGUUCCAGGUGAUCUGAUAAAAGCUGCAGGCUGAACAUCCCUCCAGGAGUUUAAAACAGAUGCAAAGCUGGGGUGGAGGAUGCCUGAGGAGCACUGGGAUGUGAAGGUGAGCACCUGGAGCUGUGCUGGAGCCCAGAAACCUGGGAUUUUUGAGGUGAGAUGAAGCACACCUCCCUGGAUCCCCACAUUCCUGCCAUCCCAUGCUGAGCAAACCCAACCCCAGCCUCAUUUCCUGGUGGGAUUCAGCCUGGCCAGGAGCUCCUUCAGGAUUUCUUGGCAGGAAAGCAGGCAGACAAAACACAGCCUUGGAAUUCCCAGCAAGGCCAGGAACUGCAAAUGCUGAGGAAAAUGAGAUAAUGGAGCAGAAAACAGGGCUGGGGAAGGAGUCAAUAUUUAAUAAAGCUGCAAUGUGAGAGCAGGGCAGCACCGAGGUGUAGACACAGGCUGGAGGAGAUGUUGGCUGUACCAACCAGCAGAUCCCAGUCCCUGUUUUCCCUGGGGGAUGGAGGGGCUGGAGCUCAGCCCUCAGCUGGCCCAAAGGCCCUCAGUGGCUCCAGAGGCCAGGGGGACAAUCCAGCCCUUGUCCCCACUGGGUGCUUCCACGUGGGCUUGGCGCUCCAACACCCCCAAGUUCCCUUUGUUCUCCCCCCAAAGCUCUCAGCAAACACUCCUCAGGAUGCUUAGGCAGGAGGAACAAAAUGAAUUUGAUUUUUUCAGCUGCUAGAAGCUGUUUAGAGGCCUUUAAAGGGUUCCAGAGCUCGCGAGAAAAAGAUGGAUCUCAAUUUACAGGGCUGAUUAACAACAUUUGUCUCCCAGCAAGGCAGAGGGAGGGGGAGGAUUUGCCAGAGCAGGAGCUGUGCAGUCACAGGAAACACCUUUUGCAGACCUUUAAAUCACAUUUUCCAAUGUCACCAGCUCCCUUUAGUGCUGAGAACUCCCAGCAGA